CCUACGGGAGGCAGCAGUGGGGAAUAUUGGGCAAUGGGCGCAAGCCUGACCCAGCAACGCCGCGUGAAGGAAGAAGGCUUUCGGGUUGUAAACUUCCUUUGUCAGGGAAGAGUAGAAGACGGUACCUGACGAAUAAGCCACGGCUAACUACGUGCCAGCAGCCGCGGUAAUACGUAGGUGGCAAGCGUUGUCCGGAUUUACUGGGUGUAAAGGGCGGGUAGCCGGGUUGACAAGUCAGAUGUGAAAUCCUGCGGCUUAACCGCAGAACUGCAUUUGAAACUGUUGAUCUUGAGUACUGGAGAGGCAGACGGAAUUCCUAGUGUAGCGGUGAAAUGCGUAGAUAUUAGGAGGAACACCAGUGGCGAAGGCGGUCUGCUGGACAGCAACUGACGGUGAGGCGCGAAAGCGUGGGGAGCAAACAGGAUUAGAUACCCCAGUAGUC
rnacentral:rRNA from 1 species